rnacentral:rRNA from 1 species
GGGCGAGCAGAGGAGCGGCGGGGGACCCCUCGGCUGUCCGGGCGAGAAAGGGCGCGGCGGACGCGAAAGGGCGCGCAGAGACGGGCGCGCUGUGCCGGGCGCGGCUGGCGCGCGGAGACCCGCGGGACUUAAGCAUAUCAGUACGCGGAGGAGAAGAAACGAAGACGGAUUCCCGGAGUAGCGGCGAGCGAAAGGGGAGGAGCCCGCGGCGAACCGCAGGGGGUGUGCCGGCGGCGCAGAAGCGAGCAGGGCGCUCCGCCGGAGAGGGUGGGAGCCCCGUGGCGCAGCGGGCGGGGGGAGUAGCCGUGCUUGGGCGUGGACGGUGAAGCGGUGGCGCGGCCCAUCGAAGGCUAAAGAGCGGGGCAGGCCGAUAGCGCAGAAGUACCGCGAGGGAAAGGAGAAAAGCACUGCGGGAGCAGAGUGAAAAGGCGCGAAACCGGCGCGAGCGCGGGCGGCCGGCGGGGCUGUGCGCGGCCCGUCUUGAAACACGGACCAAGGAGCGCUGCGCGCGGGCGCGGCGAAGCGCGGAAGGCGCGGCGCGGCGGGCGCGGGGAGUCCGCGCGCAGCGGCCCGAAAGGCGGUGAACUACGCCUGGCGCGAGCGACGGCGGGGGAAGCCCCGGCAGAAGCUCCAAGGGGGCCUGACGUGCAAAUCGGUCCUGCGAGCGGGGCGUAGCGGCGAAAGACCCAUCGAACUGCCUGGUAGCUGGUUCCCGGCGAAAUGUCCCGCAGGACAGCCGGCGCGCGCGCGCGGCGCGCGGUAGAGCGGCCGAGGGGCGCCUCGAACUGCGAACGCGCGGGCGGCGGCGCGCCGAGUGGGCGUGUGCUGGUAAGCAGCGCGCGCAAGGCGGGCCGAACCGGGCGCAGAGAUAAGGGGCCGCGGGGGCGCACAGAGCCGAAGGCCGCGGGCGGGUCAGGACAGCAGGGCGGUGGCCAUGGAGGUCGGCACCCGGGAAGAAGUGUGUUGCAACAUACCUGCCGAACCCGCGCGCGCCGAAAAAGGAGGGCGCUGCAGGCCCCCCCGACGCUCUGCUGCGGGCGCGGCCCGCAAGUAGCCGGGCGGCGCGCAUGCGCGGAAGCGCGCGCGCGGGCGCGCGUGGAGGGUGCGCGGGCGCAGAUCUUGGAGGGAGUAGCGCACUUGGCGCGCCAAGCGCCGGCGAGGAGAAGGGUUUCCGCAGGAGAGAGCCGGGCCUAAGGCGCGCAGGCCGCGCGGCGAAGGGGAAGAGGAAGCCGCACGCGCGCGCGGCAGCGGGGCGCGGCUCUCGACGCCCGCCGCCCGCGGGCGCGGGGGGGCUCUCCGCGCAGGCGCCGCGGGACGCGUUGGGCGGCGAACGCGGCGCGGCGCGCGGGGCGGGCGGGUGAAAAGAGGGCCGCGGCGCGCGGCGCCCGUACCGAAACCGCAGCAGGUCUCCGAGGCGCGGAGCCUCUGGCGCGGGACAGCGCGGGCAAGGGAAUUCGGCAAAACAGACGCGUAACUUCGGGAGAAGCGUUGGCUCUGGCGUGCUAGAACCGGAACGCGGGGGAGUCUGACUGUCUAAUUAAAACAUAGCCUCCCGAGCCUCGGCAGGUGCAGACGGGAGGUGAGUUCUGCCCAGUGCCUAGAAAGUUACCGCGGGGCGAGCCGCCGAAGCGCGGGUAAACGGCGGGAGUAACUAUGACUCUCUUAAGGUAGCCAAACGCCUCGUCAUCUAAUUAGUGACGCGCAUGAAUGGACGAACGAGAUUCCCGCUGUCCCUGCCCGCGUCCAGCGAAACCACAGCCAGGGGAACGGGCCUGGGCGCGCAGCGGGGAAAGAAGACCCUGUUGAGCUUGACUCUAGUCGGCGGGGGAGGGGAGCGGCGCGCAUGCAGGCUAGGUGGGAGGGCGCGCGGUGAGAGACCACCGGCGCGCCGCGCCCCCUUCUGACGGGCGCGGACGCCUGCCGGCGGGGAGUUUGGCUGGGGCGGCACGGCUGCUAGAGCGCAACGCAGCUGUCCAGAGGCGGGCUCAGCGCGGCGGGAAACCGCGCGGGGAGCAGAAGGGCAGAAGCCCGCCGGAGCGGGCGCGGCGCGCGCCUGCGCGGGGAAACCCGGGCCUAGCGAACCCGCGGCGCCUCGGGCGCAGAGCCGCGGAUGACGGAAAAGUUACCACAGGGAUAACUGGCUUGUGGCGGCCAAGCGUCCACAGCGACGCCGCUUUUUGAUCCUUCGAUGUCGGCUCUUCCUAGCGCUGCGCUGCACCGGGCGCAAAGCGUGGGAUUGUUCACCCACCAACAGGGAACGUGAGCUGGGUUUAGACCGUCGUGAGACAGGUUAGUUUUACCCUACUGCUCUGUUGCGCGAGCACGCGCGCGCAGUACGAGAGGAAUCGCGCGCGCGCCCCUCUGGCGCUCCCUGCGCCGCGCGGCGCGGGGCGGGGCUACGGGCGCGGCAGAACGGCUGAACGCCUCUAAGCCGGAAGGCCGGCUCAGGCGACCGCGGGGCGCGCAGAC